GCGAUUAGCUCAGUGGAUAGAGCGCUGGUCUCCGGAACCAGAAGCCGCAGGUUCGAAUCCUGCCAGGCGCGCCA
rnacentral:tRNA from 1 species